rnacentral:rRNA from 1 species
GACGAACGCUGGCGGCGUGCCUAAUACAUGCAAGUAGAACGCUGAAGGAGGAGCUUGCUUCUCUGGAUGAGUUGCGAACGGGUGAGUAACGCGUAGGUAACCUGCCUGGUAGCGGGGGAUAACUAUUGGAAACGAUGGCUAAUACCGCAUAAUAGUAGAUGUUGCAUGACAUUUGCUUAAAAGGUGCAAUUGCAUCACUACCAGAUGGACCUGCGUUGUAUUAGCUAGUUGGUGGGGUAACGGCUCACCAAGGCGACGAUACAUAGCCGACCUGAGAGGGUGAUCGGCCACACUGGGACUGAGACACGGCCCAGACUCCUACGGGAGGCAGCAGUAGGGAAUCUUCGGCAAUGGACGGAAGUCUGACCGAGCAACGCCGCAUGAGUGAAGAAGGGUUUCGGAUCGUAAAGCUCUGUUGUAAGAGAAGAACGAGUGUGAGAGUGGAAAGUUCACACUGUGACGGUAGCUUACCAGAAAGGGACGGCUAACUACGUG